ACCUCGGUAGCAUAAUGUAUCAGCGCAGAUCUGAUAACUGUAAGUGCGGGUUCGAGUCCCGCCUGAGGUU
rnacentral:tRNA from 1 species